rnacentral:tRNA from 1 species
AUUUAUAUAAUAUAAAAAAUUAUUUUUAACUUCCAAUUAAAAUAUCUAGUUUCUAGUAUAAAUA